rnacentral:snRNA from 1 species
GGAUGUGAGAAGAAAAAUUGUUGCCAUGUCUGCCACUUCGGUUGUAGCCAGAGGUGGUUUGGCUGAUCUGGUCAACUAGGCAGGUGGCCCCUUCCUCCCUCCAGAUUUAUUGUUUACAAGCUAUAGGUCCACCCCACCCCCCAAAAAAAAUGACCUUCCCCAAUAGAAGACUGUUCUUUGGUUAAGUGUGUAUGAGUAGCUGUGCUUAUUAAGUCCUAGAGCUUCAAUAAAAAGCUCCCAUGGGGUAUGGGGAAGCAAAAAAACCUUCCACACUCCAUUUGUAGGAGAAUGGAGGGGAAGCAAGCUACCAAGACUUCAGAUAUUAUCCAGAUGUGCUACUG